AUUUGAGUUUUGAGUUCUCAAUUUUUUGUAGGAGAAUCAUGAGUAACUAUAGUGGCAGUUAUUUAAUUGAUCCAGACUAUAACAUGGAUGAGACGAGUCAUCGUCUUCGAGGCGAGAAAGAGAACAGAGAGAAUAUGAUAACUUCAGAAGAAAAGCUGAGAUAGGUCGAGGGAAGAGAGCAAUGACAGAGAGGUAUGAGCUGGUAGAUGAAGAUGUGGAAGACGAGUAUAUGCCUAAGCAUACUCGCAGAGCCACCGAACUUCUGCACAAACCUUAUAUAUUGCCUGCUGAGGAGUAUAUCAGGCUCUUCAUGCUGAAUGAGUUCUGGAGCACAAGAUAUCCUUGCUCGACUACGCUGGCACAGCUUGGAUUACUGGAGGAUGUUCAACACCUGUACAAGAGUUGUCACCUGGACACACUGAUGGCUUACCCAUAUGUAGCCUAUGAGGAAGAAACUAUUAAGUUCCUCUCCACACUUCAAGUGGAGCUUUACCAAGGUAUGACCUCUGAUGAUUAGGAAUGCGAAGGAUUGGAAUUCUUGCGAUUCUCUGUGUAAGGUCAGGAUUAUAGGCGCUAUCAAUCAAACGCUUGGAAGGAUUGUUUGGUUUCCCAAGUGGAACGGGUACUACGCCCAAUUAUGACAGAGAAGAGUUGAAAGACUUAUGAAUCACCAUUGACAGCUUUGUACCGCUGAAUUCUUCUAGACCCAAGAGCAAUCAGAUACGCAGUCUGGUCAUCAGGUACUUCCAGCGUUCUAUAGCCAAUGUUCUCUACUCCCGAGAGAUAACAGGGACUGUUACUAAUUCUGAUAUGGAAAUGAUUGCUAUGGCUCCCAAAGGCACUCUCCGCCAAACCAAGAAUGGUAUGUCUCUUCAAGGUGAAACCAAUGACACACCUCUCUUUGUACUUCUUCUGAUCCACCUAUGUGGAUACAAGAUUUGGGCUGUCAGCAAUAACCACAAGAGAGCACAAGGCGUUCUUUGCAUAGGCGGUGUUGUGACACCGAUUCUGAUCGCUUGUGGAGUCCCAAUCACAUCUGAUGGACUUGAGCCUUGGGCAAUGGAUAUCGAGCAUCUAUAUCAUUGCGAAUUCCUGGAGUUCGCAAUGGUUGUUUCUGUGUUUUGUUUUGUCCUGAGUACUCUCUUCCAAGUUUAGUCACACAAUGGACUGUGUGAUUUAAGUUUGGGGGAGGGCUCAGGAAGUGUGUAUUACAUUGUAUAUACUCUUGAGUCUGCAUUCAUCUAAUGCAUAGAAACACCAAACAAAAUUUGAAAAAUUUCAGAAAAUAAUUU
rnacentral:sRNA from 1 species